UACAGAGGUGGCAAGCGUUGUUCGGAAUUACUGGGCGUAAAGGGCGCGUAGGCGGUCUUGCAAGUCCUGUGUGAAAUCCCUCGGCUCAACUGAGGAACUGCACAGGAAACUGCUUGGCUUGAGUUCGGGAGAGGGAAGCGGAAUUCCGGGUGUAGCGGUGAAAUGACGUAGAGUAUCAGGAGGAACACCCGUGGCGAAGGCGGCUUCCUGGGGCCGAUCCUGACACUGAGAAGCGAAAGCUAGGGGAGCGAACGGG
rnacentral:rRNA from 1 species